GUGUCAGGCACUAAGCAAGACACCAGAGAAACAACGGUCUACAAGACAGAUUUGGCCCCUGAACCAGUGGAACUUCACGGUUGAGUGAGGGAGGGAGAGCAGAAGUGUGAGUUGUGAGAAAUGCAAUGAUGGAAACACAGCACUGUCAUCGAGACUAACACAGGGGAUACACACACGGGACGGGAGGCAGAAUGUUGCGAUGUUGGACCAAAAUUAGACUGUCCUUGUGAACUUACGCAAUAUGUAUCUAUCCUAUCUUUGUCUGCUGAAAGGCCUCGCUUCCAGGGAUGCUGAGUUUACCCGGUGCCCAGAUCUUAGUUGCUAAAUAUCCUUCUCCGUGAAAGGGCACCGUUCCUUGAAGAAAUGGCUUCUGAUCUCAGGGCUGGUGCGGAGGAAGUACAAGCAGGUGUGAUCACACGCUGGCCGAGGGUCUUACUCUGUUGCUCGUGCUGGAAUACAGUGGUG